ACUGGCAUUUCCUCAUUCCCACUGGGUGGUGGGACCUGCUUGAAGGGCCGCUGCAUGCUCAUGGGAACGCUCUUUAUCUAGCCAGACAUAUUAUAGCUUCUGACAUGUGCCAGAAGAAAAAGGACAUGGUGAACCUGCAUGUACCUAUUUUAAGUGACCUUGCCUGCUAGGAUGAGGAAGGUGGAUUCCAGGUAGCCAACCUGCAGGGGCACCAGGGAGCCAAGGAGAACUGGACCCUGCUCGGGCACUUGCUGAGCACUUUACCUUCAC